AACGAACGCUGGCGGCAGGCUUAACACAUGCAAGUCGAACGCCCCGCAAGGGGAGUGGCAGACGGGUGAGUAACACGUGGGGAUCUGCCCAAUGGUACGGAAUAAUUCCGGGAAACUGGGACUAAUACCGUAUGUGCCCGCAAGGGGAAAGAUUUAUCGCCAUUGGAUGAACCCGCGUCGGAUUAGCUAGUUGGUGAGGUAAAGGCUCACCAAGGCGACGAUCCGUAGCUGGUCUGAGAGGAUGAUCAGCCACACUGGGACUGAGACACGGCCCAGACUCCUACGGGAGGCAGCAGUGGGGAAUAUUGGACAAUGGGCGCAAGCCUGAUCCAGCCAUGCCGCGUGAGUGAUGAAGGCCUUAGGGUUGUAAAGCUCUUUCGCCGACGAAGAUAAUGACGGUAGUCGGAGAAGAAGCCCCGGCUAACUUCGUGCCAGCAGCCGCCGCGG
rnacentral:rRNA from 1 species